UGACCUCACGUCCGGUGCGCUCCAGUGUUGUGUACCCGGGGGGAGCGGGCGCGGCUUUCCGCCCCGGCGCUUUAUGGCAGCGGUAGGCGCGGGCGGGGGCGCCGCGGGGCCCGGUGUCAUGAGCGACAGCGACGCCAUCGACUACUCAGUGCACGAGGCCUGGAACGAGGCGACCAACGUCUACCUGCUGGUGGUGCUGGCCAGCCUGGCGCUGCUGGUCUACGCCCGCCGGAAUAAAAGGAAGAUCAUGCGAAUAUUCACAGUGCCUCCUACAGCAGAGGCACCGUCAGAGCCAAACUUUUAUGAUAGUAUGAAAAAAAUUCGCUUACGACAACAAUUAGAGAUGUAUUCUCUCGGGUGACAACUCUCCUUUCCAUCUUCCCUGGCUUUCAUUAGGAUGUCUUAAGUCUACCCUCUGGGUUUCCAGAACAGCAAGGAAGUAUGACCAGCAGCCGCCACAGAAACAGACUGACAGCGUACAGCUCUUAAUGGAAUGAAGUCUCAAAUUAUGGGAACUCAAGCAAUUUUUACAGUGCUGAUAAUGACAGGAGAGUUGGUAUGGAGUCAUUUUCAAAGGAACUUUAAUGGCAUAUGUUUUUUAAAAAACCCUCUCCUAUAAAUAUAUUUCUUGGAAACUUUUCUUUGGACCUGUUUAGAUACUUACCGAACAUCUGCUGAUUCUUUAAAAAUGAAAUGCUCAAAGAAACACUUGAGGGAAGAUGGCUGUAGUCCAUACUAAAGAGAUGUUCAAAAUGUUCCAGUGGUUUCCACUGUUGCCAAUACUUUGGUGGGCAGCUCCUUUGCUGAACCAGGGGUAUUUUUGCAACAUGGCAGUAGAGGACAUUGGGGUUAUUGGGUAAGUUUCUACUGUCUGUCUCCUCCUCUGAUGGUUUCUUAGGGGAACACAUGGAAAAGUCAUGCAGUGCCUAUGUGCCUGAACAUUGCCAAGUUGUAUGUCUCAUUUGAACACCAUUGGCUUCUGCUGUCAGGGACUACAGAACACUUACAAUACACAUAAUUGUGCUGCUGUAAAUUCACAGCUGAAAUGAAUAGCUCUUGAGAGCCAGAAAUUUAUAUCAUUGGCCUUAUGGAAAAAAGGAAAAAAAUGAAAUUUUCAUCUGUACGGAGAGCAUAAUUAUAGUACUGCAUCUUUUCCAUGCUAAAGCUUUAAUGAAAGCUAAGAUCAGAAGGGUAGUACAUAAGUCUUGUUUGCUAAAGGACUGUAUAUUGAAAUGCUGUAGCAAAGAUUAUUAAAAUUAGAGAGGACUCCAAUAAACCAGCUAGCUAAGUGAGGUCUCUCUGUGGCUAGCUGGAGCACUUGAUUGCCUGUUCUUUUCAUUCCCUCUGAAGCACCUGGGAUUGGCCACUGUUGGAAGAUGGACCAUUGGUUUGAUCCAGUAUGGCCAUUCUUAUGUCCUCCCCCAGUCCCAGGGGCAGUUAUCAGCCAGUGCAAUCUGGUGAGUCUCUUAGGAUCAGAUUGGGACAGAAAAUCUGAUUUGUAUCCUUUAAAAUGCCAGUAGAGCUGUAUAAACUAUAAUCUGUACAGAGGGAGAAAUAAUACAAAGAGAGAAAUAGAGGGAGGAAAUGAUGAUUCUGACAGGAAAAAUGCAGGUGAAUACAUCUGUAAAAUAAUAUUCAGUGGGCGGGGAAGUUAAACUUGUAAACAUGUUGGAUAUCAGAGAAAUUAGAGAUUGAAGAAAUGUAUUAAUUUGUCUGUCCUGCUAGUGAAGGAUUGUAUUUAUACUAAAGUUUCUACUUGUACAUUUCAAGUGGUGGAUCUUCCUUUGGAAGAUUAGAUCUCAUGUUGGGAAGUUUAUCCUGAUUUUCAGCCUUAAUUUCCCCUUCUUAAAGUACUCCUGGGUAUGUGAAAUGCUGUUUUUUGUAUUAUGUUUUAAUUUGUUUAAUGGCAUUGAAUAGUAAAAUACAUAUUGAGCUGAA